GAUGAACGCUGGCGGCGUGCCUAAUACAUGCAAGUCGAGCGAACAGACGAGGAGCUUGCUCCUCUGACGUUAGCGGCGGACGGGUGAGUAACACGUGGAUAACCUACCUAUCAGACUGGGAUAACUUCGGGAAACCGGAGCUAAUACCGGAUAAUAUAUUGAACCGCAUGGUUCAAUAGUGAAAGUCGGUUUUGCUGUCACUUCUAGCUGGAUCCGCGCCGCAUUAGCUAGUUGGUAAGGUAACGGCUUACCAAGGCAACGAUGCGUAGCCGACCUGAGAGGGGGAUCGGCCACACUGGAGCGGAGACACGGACCAGACUCCUACGGGAGGCAGCAGUAGGGAAUCUUCCGCAAUGGGCGAAAGCCUGACGGAGCAACGCCGCGUGAGUGAUGAAGGUCUUCGGAUCGGAAAACUCUGUUAUGAGGGAAGAACAAAUGUGUAAGUAACUAUGCACGUCUUGACGGUAACUAAUCAGAAAGCCACGGCUAACUACGUG
rnacentral:rRNA from 1 species